GAUGAACGCUGGCGGCGUGCCUAAUACAUGCAAGUCGAGCGAACGGACGAGAAGCUUGCUUCUCUGAUGUUAGCGGCGGACGGGUGAGUAACACGUGGAUAACCUACCUAUAAGACUGGGAUAACUUCGGGAAACCGGAGCUAAUACCGGAUGAUAUUUUGAACCGCAUGGUUCAAAAGUGAAAGACGGUCUUGCUGUCACUUAUAGAUGGAUCCGCGCUGCAUUAGCUAGUUGGUAAGGUAACGGCUUACCAAGGCAACGAUGCGUAGCCGACCUGAGAGGGUGGUCGGCCACCCUGGAACGGAACCAGGGUCAUGACUACUACGGGAGGCAGCAGUAGGGAACCUUCCGCAAUGGGCGAAAGCCUGACGGAGCAACGCCGCGUGAGUGAUGGAGGUCUUGGGAUCGUAAAACUCUGUUAUUAGGGAAGAACAUAUGUGUAAGUAACUGUGCACAUCUUGACGGUACCUAAUCAGAAAGCCACGGCUAACUACGUG
rnacentral:rRNA from 1 species